CCUACGGGUGGCAGCAGUGGGGGAUAUUGCACAAUGAGGGAAACCCUGAUGCAGCGACGCCGCGUGUAGGAAGACGGUCCUCUGGAUUGUAAACUACUGUCCCCAGGGACGAAGAUGACGGUACCUGGGGAGGAAGCUCCGGCUAACUACGUGCCAGCAGCCGCGCUAAUACGUAGGGAGCGAGCGUUGUCGGGAAUUACUGGGGGAAAAGGGAGCGUAGGCGGGGAUGCAAGUUGGGUGUUAAAUCUACCGGCUCAACUGGGAGUUGCACUCAAAACUGCAGAUCUUGAGUGAAGUAGAGGCAGGCGGAAGUCCUGGUGUAGCGGUGAAAUGCGUAGAUAUUAGGAGGAACACCAGUGGCGAAGGCGGCCUGCUGGGCUUUUACUGACGCUGAGGCUCGAAAGUGUGGGGAGCAAACAGGAUUAGAUACCCCAGUAGUC
rnacentral:rRNA from 1 species